GAUGAACGCUGGCGGCGUGCCUAAUACAUGCAAGUCGAGCGAACAGACGAGGAGCUUGCUCCUCUGACGUUAGCGGCGGACGGGUGAGUAACACGUGGAUAACCUACCUAUAAGACUGGGAUAACUUCGGGAAACCGGAGCUAAUACCGGAUAAUAUAUUGAACCGCAUGGUUCAAUAGUGAAAGACGGUUUUGCUGUCACUUAUAGAUGGAUCCGCGCCGCAUUAGCUAGUUGGUAAGGUAACGGCUUACCAAGGCGACGAUGCGUAGCCGACCUGUGAGGCUGAUCGGCCACACUGGAGCUGAGACACGGACCAGGCUCCUACGGGAGGCAGCAGUAGGCAAUCUUCCGCAAUGGGCGAAAGCCUGACAGAACAACGCCGCGUGAGUGAUGAAGGUCUUCGGAUCGUAAAGCUCUGUUAUUAGGGAAGAACAAAUGUGUAAGUAACUAUGCACGUCUUGACGGUACCUAAUCAGAAAGCCACGGCUAACUACGUG
rnacentral:rRNA from 1 species